rnacentral:rRNA from 1 species
GACGAACGCUGGCGGCGUGCUUAACACAUGCAAGUCGAACGGAAAGGCCCUGCUUUUGUGGGGUGCUCGAGUGGCGAACGGGUGCGUAACACGUGAGUAACCUGCCCUUGACUUUGGUAUAACUUCAGGUAACUGGGGCUAAUACCGGAUAGGAGCUCCUGCUCCAUGGUGGGCGUUGGAACGUUUCGGCGGUUGGGGAUGGAUUCGCGGCUUAUCAGCUUGUUGGUGGGGUAGUGGCUUACCAAGGCUUUGACGGGUAGCCGGCCUGAGAGGGUGACCGGCGACAAUGGGACUGAGGGACGGACCAGACUCCUACGGGAGGCAGCAGUGGGGAAUAUUGCACAAUGGGCGGAAGCCUGAUGCAGCAACGCCGCGGGCGGGAUGACGGCCUUCGGGUUGUAAACCGCUGUAGCCUGUGACGAAGCGUGAGUGACGGUAAUGGGUAAAGAAGCACCGGCUAACUACGUG